rnacentral:rRNA from 1 species
UACGAGGGGGGCGAGCGUUGUUCGGAAUUAUUGGGCGUAAAGGGUGCGUAGGCGGUUUGGUAAGUCUUGUGUGAAAUCUACAGGCUCAACUUGUAGUCUGCACGAGAAACUGCCGGGCUUGAGUAUGGGAGAGGUGAGUGGAAUUCCUGGUGUAGCGGUGAAAUGCGUAGAUAUCAGGAGGAACACCUGUGGCGAAAGCGGCUCACUGGACCAUAACUGACGCUGAUGCACGAAAGCUAGGGGGAGCAAACAGG